GAAGCCCCAGUAAACGGCGGCCGUAACUAUAACGGUCCUAAGGUAGCGAAAUUCCUUGUCGGGUAAGUUCCGACCCGCACGAAAGGCGUAACGAUCUGGGCACUGUCUCAACGAGAGACUCGGUGAAAUUAUAGUACCUGUGAAGAUGCAGGUUACCCGCGACAGGACGGAAAGACCCCGUGGAGCUUUACUGUAGCCUGAUAUUGAA
rnacentral:rRNA from 1 species